AUGCGACAGAAGCAUGCGGCAGCGGCGGCGGCGGCGGCGGCGGCGGCGUGCCGCGGCGGCAUGCGACAGAAGCAUGCGGCAGCGGCGGCGGCGGCGUGCUACGGAGGUGUGCUGCGGUGGUGUGCGGCGGGGCAGAGGCGUGCGACGAAGGCGGGCGGCGGCGGCGAUGAGGGCGGUGGCGGCUGGCCAGAGGUGCAGGGCGGCUGCGUGGCAGGCCUGAUGUCCCCGGGCGCUCGGCCCCGCACCCACUGCGGCUACUGCUUCGGAGCCGGAGAGCCGGCACUGACGCAGUCUGGGCCGGGAACGCAGCGCUCGCAGCCAUGGUCUCUGGAGCCUCGGUUAAGCGGGCGCAGGGCGCAGCGGUUGGGCAGCCCCGGGCCCCGCCCCCAGCGCUUGGCUGACGAGCUGCCCCCUCGUCUCUUCCCACAGAGGCGGACACUCCACAGAGGCUGCUGCGCACCUUCCAGAAGGAGGAAUCAGAACUUCCAUUUCCUGGGGGCUACUCUGUGCCGUACCCUGUGUGUACAGGUAACUUUCUGAGGUGAGUGCGAUUGUCCCCACUUUACAGACAGAGAACCCGAGCUUGGAGGGGAGGCGUGAGUUGCUCAAGAGCACACAGCUGACAGGGUGCGGAGCCAGGAACUUCACCCCCAGGUCUGUCUAACAUCAGAGCCAGGCUUUUACCUGUCAUAACCCAAACGUGUCCAUCCACGUCUACGCAGCACUGCAAUGUCGGCAUGUGUGGUGCCAUGAUUUUCAUUGCACGGAUCGCCUCCACUGUUGUCAACAUGUUGCACAACAGUGGUCCAUUUUUAGUAGUAUAUAUUUUUCAGUUCCUUUGUUUAGUUUUGAGUGAGAGAGCAUGCAUGUGUGUCAGCAGCAAAGGGGCAGAGAGAGAGGGGAGAAAGAAUCCUGUGCUGUCAGCACAGAGCCUGAUGUAGGACUUGAUCCCAUGAACUGUGAGGUCAUGACCUCAGCUCAGAUCCAGACUUGGACGCUGAACCAACUGAGCCACCCAGGCACCCUGACAACAAUGGUGCAUUUUAUACGGACACUAACUCAUCAUUUUCAGGAAAAGUUUCUAAUUUGCAUUAGUGUUCAGCCUUGGUGCUAUAUGUUCUAUGAGUUUUAACAAAUGUGUAAUGAUGUGAAUCCACCUUUGUGGUAUCGUGUCAAAGAGAUUCAUUGCCUUAAAAGUCCUCUGUGCUGUGCCCCUUUAUCCCUACAUUCAUCCCAACCCUUACCUCCAUAGUCUUGCUCUUUCCAGAGUGUCAUAUAGUUAGAAUCAUACAGUGGAUAUGUUUGAAUGUUUAGAAAAUUAAAUUCCCUUGUAAUUGAAUGUAAGCAUUCAAGGUAUUGUUUAGUUUUGUUGCUCAUCAGUGGAGGAUCUGAUGAUAUAUGCCUUCCAUGAAAAAAAGCAUGAUUUCUUUAGAUGUGUGUCACCUAAUGGGGACAUCAUGAACCACUACAUAGCACUCACAUUGGGAUCAUGCUCCUGUGUGAUGUGCGGUGGGUCUAGAUAGACUCUCUAGCAAUGGAAGGAGACAGUCUCAAGAGGUUAGAACUUUAUCAAACUGGAAUGCCAAAUCCUUCUUCCUUAACUUCCCAUUGGAAAUAAGGCCAGGGAGAGUCUGUUUGCUAUGGUUUGGCAAUGCUGCAAAGUACAAUAGCUAUAGAGCACACUUUGUGAGGGGGUGUUUCGUCCUAAAACUGAACAGUGUAUACUGAAGGGCUGGGGAAGUUCUGUUAUCAGCUGUUAUCAGAGAUAAUUUUUUUUUAUCUGAAUGCUAUAUCUGUAUGGUAGGGCAAACACCUAAUUACCAAAAACCUGCUCUCCUUAUUGUGCUGUGAAUCACCUCCUCCCCUCUGAAGCCCCAGGCUCCUAUCCCAUUCCUUAGCUCAGGAUGGUCUAUGCGCAGCAACUCCUCAGCUUGCCCCUGAGUAUCAUAUUUUCAGGGUGCUCCUCAUACAUAUGUAAUUAAAUUUGUUUUUUCCUGCUUAUCUGUCAUAUGGUAAUUUAAUUAUUAGACCAGCCAAAUAAUGUUGAAGGGAAGAAGGAAAUUUUUUUCCUCCCCAAUAAUAUGUUCUUAUGAAAUAUUACAGGAAAAGAAUAAUAUCUCAAAAGCCUUUAAAGGAGAAAAAUAAUUAUCAGCAAAGGAGCAGAACCUGAUUUGUAUUAGAUUUUAUUAUAGCAAUACUGGAUACAAGAAGUCAAUAAAGCAAAUUUCCAAAGUAGCCA
rnacentral:lncRNA from 1 species